rnacentral:lncRNA from 1 species
CCACGGGAAAAUUUCGACUGAAUUUAUUAUGAGUUGAACGAUUCCAGUAAUAGUAAUUACAAAUGCUUUCAUCAUGAUGUUUACCAAAAAAAUAAAAGAAAAAAGGCUUUCAUCAUGACCAAUUAGAUGCAUUGCCCUUGAGGAGAGGUAUUCUUUUUUGUCAAGUUCCUCUUCUUUACGCCAUCUUGUCGAAUUGCUCAGGGUUCGGGUUGUAACUUUCGCACGAAAGAAUUAUAUAUAAGAAUGGUCUUUCUUCCUUCACGACGUCAAUCGUUUAAUCGCCUCUUGCACAGCUCCAUCCCCUUGACCGCGCAGAUCUC